rnacentral:rRNA from 1 species
GUAUGCAAUCUACCUUUGCAGAGGGAUAGCCCAGAGAAAUUUGGAUUAAUACCUCAUAGUAUAGUACUUUGGCAUCAAGGAACUAUUAAAGUCACAACGGCAAAAGAUGAGCAUGCGUCCCAUUAGCUAGUUGGUAAGGUAACGGCUUACCAAGGCUACGAUGGGUAGGGGUCCUGAGAGGGAGAUCCCCCACACUGGUACUGAGACACGGACCAGACUCCUACGGGAGGCAGCAGUGGGGAAUUUUGGACAAUGGGCGCAAGCCUGAUCCAGCAAUGCCGCGUGCAGGAUGAAGGCCUUCGGGUUGUAAACUGCUUUGUACGGAACGAAACGGUGAGCUCUAAUACAGUUUGCUAAUGACGGUACCGUAAGAAUAAGCACCGGCUAACUACGUG